AAGACCUUAUGCUUUUGGAGCGGCCGAUGUCUGAUUAGCUAGUUGGUAAGGUAAUGGCUUACCAAGGCGACGAUCAGUAGUUGGUCUGAGAGGACGGCCAGCCACACUGGGACUGAGACACGGCCCAGACUCCUACGGGAGGCAGCAGUGGGGAAUUUUGGACAAUGGGCGCAAGCCUGAUCCAGCAAUGCCGCGUGAGUGAAGAAGGCCUUCGGGUUGUAAAGCUCUUUCAGUACGAGAAAGAAAAGGUUUGCACUAAUAAUCAUACUCAUGACGGUAUCGACAGAAGAAGCACCGGCUAACUACGUGCCAGCAGCCGCGGUAAUACGUAGGGUGCGAGCGUUAAUCGGAAUUACUGGGCGUAAAGGGUGCGCAGGCGGUUYUGUAAGUCAGAUGUGAAAUCCCCGGGCUUAACCUGGGAACUGCGUUUGAAACUACAA
rnacentral:rRNA from 1 species